UACGUAGGGUGCGAGCGUUGUCCGGAAUUAUUGGGCGUAAAGAGCUCGUAGGCGGUCUGUCGCGUCGAAUGUGAAAACCCGGGGCUCAACUCCGGGCUUGCAUUCGAUACGGGCAGACUGGAGGUAUGCAGGGGAGAACGGAAUUCCUGGUGUAGCGGUGAAAUGCGCAGAUAUCAGGAGGAACACCGGUGGCGAAGGCGGUUCUCUGGGCAUGUCCUGACGCUGAGGAGCGAAAGUGUGGGGAGCGAACAGG
rnacentral:rRNA from 1 species